UGUUUGUGUAAAAUCUUGAGAUGCUUUUUAUAAGCCAAAAGCUUACUAGCAGAUGAGAAGAUAAAAUUUUUUGUUUGGAAAGUUUUUGCUUGAUGGAAAGUCACGGAACAGAAGAAAUCCCCUAGAAUUUACGUUCUAUACUGGCUGGUUUACAGGUAACUUAUAGCAGCAGAAACCUGUUGCGGCAUUGCACACAGAGGUCACGGGAGGAGCACAGAGAUCCCUGUCUUCAGGUUAAGGCAAAGGCUUCUAAAGGAAAUGCCGAAAGUGCUCCCAAGGUUGCCGAGAGAAGUCCUUCUCGUUGUUAAAGCUGGAAACGUCCACAUGAUGAUCGUUUCGGUGCCUAAGGAAGAACCCCUCCCACAUGGAAUGCAAUGAUGGUGUUUUGUUCAGAAUUGAAUGACUCUUGAUAAAUAAUCAAAGAAACCCACUCGUUGUCCUGCGUUGAUGGAAAGGACCCCCCGGAACAGCAGCAAAGGCUCAUGGGCCAGGGAUCCAGCCUGCAACUGAGGUACGUGCCCUGGACCAGAAUUUAAGCUGAGACUCUUCAGUCCCCAGAACGACCCUCUAUCCACUGAGCCAAAUCGACUAUGGCAUCAUCUUCUUUUCCUCCGGAUUCAGUGCAUGGGGGUCCCCCUCCAGGUGUUUCUAGGCCAUAGCUUAAAACACUGGCUUCGGGAGAAUGCCAUCCUUGAGGCGGACAGCCGUUACCUCUAAGUUGUCAGCAGACACACGCCCGGGACAGGCUGCCUCCAGCAGCACCUGCGUCCUGUGCAGACAGACCUGGUCCGGCCUUGAGCAUCCAGUUGGAAUCCCAGACCUCAGCGGUCAUGACCGUGUGAGAAGCUGGGACCUGCUGAAGCUGCAGGGGCCUGCGCAGCAGAGGCCACGGAGCACCCAACCCUCCUGCAGCCUGGCACCGGGCGGAGGGGCAGCCAGAGGGUGUCCCACGCAGGCAGCCCGGCUUUCCCUUCACUGAGCUGUGAGCUGGUGCUCAGACAAGCCUCCUUCCCUCACCACGUUCCCUCCUGUUCCCUCAGGAGGGGAGACAGGACAAAGUUUCAGCCCGCCUCGCCCCUCCUGGCAGGGACAACCUGCACAGCGUCUGCCUCCCCUCCCAUC